AUAGAACGCUGGCGGCAUGCCUUACACAUGCAAGUCGAACGGCAGCAUAGGAGCUUGCUCCUGAUGGCGAGUGGCGAACGGGUGAGUAAUAUAUCGGAACGUGCCCUAGAGUGGGGGAUAACUAGUCGAAAGACUAGCUAAUACCGCAUACGAUCUACGGAUGAAAGUGGGGGAUCGCAAGACCUCAUGCUCCUGGAGCGGCCGAUAUCUGAUUAGCUAGUUGGUGGGGUAAAAGCCUACCAAGGCGACGAUCAGUAGCUGGUCUGAGAGGACGACCAGCCACACUGGGACUGAGACACGGCCCAGACUCCUACGGGAGGCAGCAGUGGGGAAUUUUGGACAAUGGGGGCAACCCUGAUCCAGCAAUGCCGCGUGAGUGAAGAAGGCCUUCGGGUUGUAAAGCUCUUUUGUCAGGGAAGAAACGGUAGUAGCUAAUAUCUAUUACUAAUGACGGUACCUGAAGAAUAAGCACCGGCUAACUACGUGCCAGCCGCCGCCGUAA
rnacentral:rRNA from 1 species